CCGGCCGGAGCGGGUGGGAAGGGCGUCCGAGCUGCGUGACGUGACGUGUGUUAAACGUUCUGUGCCGGCCGUGGUGUGCUGCAUGGUCGCGGCAAUGAUUGUCUCGCAGCAUUCGGCACUGGAGAGGCCACACCCUUGCUCCCCUCCAGCGGCGAGAAUGUUCUGCUUUCCUCCGUGUUGUUUGAAGAUUAACUGUGCGAAUUGUGCAGAGACAGCACAGCAGAUGAGGGAAAAAUUACAAGAAAAAAUCUGAGUGGUUGUUAACUGGAACCACAGCAGCUGCUUCGUGAUAACACAGUGCCAGGCACCACAGGAGAGCAGAAAUACUCUGUGGUCUGCAAGAGUCAGAAGGUUGAAGCAAGACAGGAAGGAGGUUGGAUCACCAGAGGAUAUGCCACUAAACUGGCCAAGGAUCUGCUGUGCUUUCAGUGCAUCAACUUUUGAAGUCUUGAGAGCAUUUAAGGAGAAGGUAGAGUAUAAAUCACUGUCAUUAAAAAGAGAAAAAGAGACAGAGGUGGUCAGCAAAGAGGGUGUCUUAGAUUGGAAACGGGUGUGUGUAUUCUAUUCCUGUCUGUAGGGUUAUCUUCUGUUAAUUGGGCAGUUUUCUUUAUCUCUUCUACAACCAAUCCUCUUUCUGGGAAAUAUUUUCUGUUAAUGUGUCAUUGAGUGUCACUGCAGGACUGAUAGAAUUACAUCAUCUCACAUGGUGAGAUGCUCUGCCCCGGGGGAGGAGCCAAGCAUUCCUACCUGGAUAUAAUCAGAGAUUUGGAAGACCACAGCCAGCCUUUCCCACUGGAUUUCCAGAAGAAGACCAGGCCCACCUACACCACCACUGGAUCUUCAGAGGAAGACUACACCCUUCUACAGAACCACAUCUGCCACUCCGGGAGGAUGGCAGCCACCAUUUCAGUUGGAUUGGUACCAACUCCCUGACCAACAGGGUGUCAGGGUAUAUUCUGACUGUCAGUGUUGUUUUGUGUUACAGCAUUGUUUAUUUUAUUUUUUUAAAAAAAUUCUUCC